GAGAGCGUAACUCAGUUGGUAGAGUUUUAUAGCGUGAAGGGAUAUGCUAUUGAAUACCCUUAGUCGCCAGUUCGAGUCUGGCCGCUCUCA
rnacentral:tRNA from 2 species